AAAAAAGGAUAGACAUGGUCAACUCACAGUCAGAGACAAAUAGAGAGAAGUGAAACAGGGUCAUUCGCUGUUUGGAAAGAGGACAGUCACAGUAGAGAGAAGAAAUAGCCACAACGAAUCAUACAAAGAGGACAGACACAGUCAGUGUUCAGUAAAAAGAACAGAAUUUGGGUCAGACUGAGGUUGGAGAAAGAGAAGGGGGAUGGGGUGUGCUCAACCAAGAGAUCGCAUAGGACAAAAUACAGACAAUUGCAAAUGAAAACCUGUCCAAGAUGGUGGAAAACUAACCUAUCAAUGACAUCAACAAUCUGGAAAUCCAAGACGAACUCAGCAAUCUGUCUAUCUCAAGAUGGACUCACCCACAAUCUGGAUAUCUAAAAUGGCAGUGUCCACAUAGUUCUCCACCUGCACGGACAUCUCAUAUUUCCCGGAGUGCUUCCUCUCGGCCUUGCGGAUGAAGAUAAUGCUGUCGCAUUCGCUGUUGCGAAUGCUCACCUGUGUAGGAUCCACAGCCUUCCCCCCCUUCAGCCAGCUCACCUUUGGUCUUGGUUUCCCCUGAAAACCAACCAUAGGUGAGUUAUGUGUCUUCAGAAAUGUUACCUCCAUAGUCUUCAGAAGAGUCCCCGAGUUCUGCAGUUCUUUGUCACUUAUAAAAGAAACAAUCCCAUGACACUUAGUGUUUUCUUACAGAUCAAGGAUCUAUUUUGAGUGGAGUCAUACCCUUUCUGUCAAAGCAUUACAGUGCUUAGCAUAUAGCUUUAGCCUUACCAGGAAGGGAAUGACGAGAUUAAUGGCCUCUCCGACCCUGCGAAUGUAUGUCUGCUUCAGAUGUCUCGGCAGGCGAAUCUUGGGACGUUCUGUGCAGGGGGCAUAAAUGGUCACAGUCUGACAUA